UGGUAUCUCUUUCUCGUGUCCAUGAGCCCAGGGUGCGUGAGGCCCAGGCUGGCACGGUAUCUCUUUCUCCCUAAACUGUCCCCAAAGCAGGCACAAUUUUGUGUGCUGCCCGCCCCCACUGUCAGUGCACUCUUCCAAGGGUUCCUGUGGAAUCCAGGCUCCAGUAAACACCCAAAGAGGAGGAAGUGGGCCAAGCAAUGAGCCUGCGAUUGCAUCAGGGCUGACGCACUCCCUGCCUUUUCCCCCACCUCAGUCUCCAGAGGAGCUCCUUGGGGCCAGGCCCAGCCCAGGAGAGAGGCUCAGGCCAAGGUGAAGAAGGGGAUGCUGGGGAGGGAUGCAAAUUAAAUUGCACUCUCCUUGGCUUGGGAAAGAAACAGCCAACAGAUUUGAAAGCUGGAGAUGAUGCAAAGAAGCCAAGGAGAAACAUGAAAACUCAAAUGUGCCCUGAACCAGUCUCAACCCCCAAGUCAAGGAAUGUAAAGUGCUGCAUUUUCUGGGAGCAAGAGAGCAAGUCUAUAUGGAAACUUGAGGUACUCUGAUGUGGUUUGGGAACCAAAAAAUAAAAGUGUUUAAGAGGGGCUUCCCUGGUGGCGCAGUGGUUGAGAAUCUGCCUGCCA